rnacentral:lncRNA from 1 species
AGUUUCUGAGUAUUCUCUGAAGCCUUUUCAGAGCUGGAAAUCAGUCCAAUCCCAGUAGUAGGGUAGGAUUUAAAAGGACGGAGGAGGUGUCCUGUUGAUUUCUUUGUUUCCUUCAAUGUCAACAAGUAAGAAAACUCCAAGACCUUCUUUCUUAGAGAUUUUCUGGAAGUUCGAGAAGAGAGUUCACAAUGAGUUGGCCUUGCCUGAUGUGAUUUGUGAUAAACGGUAAGCCUCAGCAGUGUUUAAUGGCAAUUGGACAAAGCACACUCGGAAGAAUAUGGGAUAACUUCAUACAGCACUAAGAAGUUGUCGACAUAAAAGCGCAGGGAAUGUUAGGUGUCUGAGCGAUGGCAGAGGAGAGGAGCAGAAAAACAGAGUUACUGAAGAUGAGGAAACUGAUGUACGAAGAUGUUAUACGACUUGCCAGAUAACAUCAUCCAACAGAUCCAUACAUGUGAUGUGAUGGACACUUUCCCUCUGAACAACAUCCUCUCCAGCCACAUUUGUGCAGUUGGGUCUCAAUGUCCUAAAAGAAACAGCACUGGAUAAGGUCAAGUUGAAACAGAUUAAAUUUAAAU